ACCCGGCUAGCUCAGUUGGUAGAGCAUGAGACUCUUGAUCUCAGGAUCAUGGGUUUGAGCCCCACACUGGGUG